CAGCAUGUUGGUACAGUCGGCCAGGAUGUUAAGAAGCAGUGGUGUUCAGCUUCAUGAUGAGUAGUAAAAUUGAGAGAGUGGAUAGCAACAUAAGAAUACAGUGUGCUGUAUCUCAGGUUCACAGGUCAAGUCUACCGAUUCAUCAAGAAGUGCGAGAUCAAUGUACAAUCAUUGUCACCGGAACACAAUGUAAUAUAAUUAGCCAGAUUUAUGUGGUCUUCUGCAAAUAAUCGCGCGCGGAUAUUUAUCAGGUUUUAUACCACUGGAUCAUCGGUAUUUAAUUAAAUUUGCAAGUUAUGUUUCUUUUACAACGAACAAGUACUCCUCAAACGAUAUUAUAUACUUAAAUAUAAUUAGGCCUAAGCAUAAUAUUAUGUUAUAUAAAACUACAAUCUUGUGUUUUAUUUAUACUACGUUUAUGUAGUUCGGAUGUAACAUUACGUAUUAUGUAAGAAAUAAAAAAUGUGUAAUUUAAAA